rnacentral:rRNA from 1 species
CCUACGGGUGGCAGCAGUGAGGAAUAUUGGUCAAUGGGCGGAAGCCUGAACCAGCCAAGUAGCGUGCAGGAUGACGUCCCUACGGGUUGUAAACUGCUUUUAUACGGGAAUAACGCGCCUUACGUGUAGGGCUUUGCAUGUACCGUAUGAAUAAGGACCGGCUAAUUCCGUGCCAGCCGCCGCGGUAAUACGGAAGGUCCGGGCGUUAUCCGGAUUUAUUGGGUUUAAAGGGAGCGUAGGCCGCAUGUCAAGCGUGAUGUGAAAUGUCCGGGCUCAACCCGGGCAUUGCAGCGGAAACUGGCGUGCUUGAGUCCGCGGAAAGCAGGCGGAAUUCGUAGUGUAGCGGUGAAAUGCUUAGAUAUGACGAAGAACCCCGAUUGCGAAGGCAGCUUGCUGCAGCGGAACUGACGCUGAGGCUCGAAAGCGCGGGUAUCGAACAGGAUUAGAUACCCGAGUAGUC